CCUACGGGUGGCUGCAGUGGGGAAUAUUGGACAAUGGGGGGAACCCUGAUCCAGCCAUGCCGCGUGUGUGAAGAAGGCCCUCGGGUUGUAAAGCACUUUCAGUGAGGAAGAACGCCUGGUGGUUAAUACCCAUCAGGAAAGACAUCACUCACAGAAGAAGCACCGGCUAACUCCGUGCCAGCAGCCGCGGUAAUACGGAGGGUGCGAGCGUUAAUCGGAAUUACUGGGCGUAAAGCGCGCGUAGGUGGCUUGAUAAGCCGGUUGUGAAAGCCCCGGGCUCAACCUGGGAACGGCAUCCGGAACUGUCAAGCUAGAGUGCAGGAGAGGAAGGUAGAAUUCCCGGUGUAGCGGUGAAAUGCGUAGAGAUCGGGAGGAAUACCAGUGGCGAAGGCGGCCUCCUGGACUGACACUGACACUGAGGUGCGAAAGCGUGGGUAGCAAACAGGAUUAGAUACCCGGGUAGUC
rnacentral:rRNA from 1 species